rnacentral:rRNA from 1 species
GGAGGGUGCGAGCGUUGUUCGGAAUUAUUGGGCGUAAAGCGCGUGCAGGCGGCUCGCUAAGUCUGAUGUGAAAGCCCCGGGCUCAACCCGGGAAGUGCAUUGGAAACUGGCGAACUUGAGUACGGGAGAGGGAAGUGGAAUUCCGAGUGUAGGGGUGAAAUCCGUAGAUAUUCGGAGGAACACCAGUGGCGAAGGCGGCUUCCUGGACCGAUACUGACGCUGAGACGCGAAAGCGUGGGGAGCAAACAGGAUUAGAUACCCUGGUAGUCCACGCCGUAAACGAUGGGCACUAGGUGUCGCGGGUAUUGACCCCUGCGGUGCCGUAGCUAACGCAUUAAGUGCCCCGCCUGGGGAGUACGGCCGCAAGGCUAAA